UACGGAGGAGGCAAGCGUUAUCCGGAAUUAUUGGGCGUAAAGCGUCCGCAGGUGGCACUUCAAGUCUGUCGUCAAAGACUGGGGCUUAACCCCGGAAAGGCGGUGGAAACUGAAGCGCUAGAGUGCGGUAGGGGUAGAGGGAAUUUCCGGUGGAGCGGUGAAAUGCGUAGAGAUCGGAAAGAACACCAACGGCGAAAGCACUCUGCUGGGCCGUUGCUGACGCUGAGGCGCGACAGCGUGGGGAGCAAACAGG
rnacentral:rRNA from 1 species